UACGCCGACGUGAGCCAGCUGA
rnacentral:miRNA from 2 species